rnacentral:lncRNA from 10 species
CAUCACUAAUCAGACAUGCAAAUCAAAACCACAAUGAGAUACCAUCUCAAACUAGUCAGAAUGGCUAUUAAAAAGUCAGAAAAUAACAGAUGUUGGCAAGGUUGUGGAGAAAAGAAUGCUUAUACACUGUUGGUGAGAAAUAAAUUAGAUCAGCUAGCCCCUGUGGAAAGCAGUUCGGAGAUUUCUCAAAGAACUAAAAAUAGAAAUUGCUAUUCAACCCAGCCGUCCCAUUACUGGGUAUAUACCCAAAGGAAAAUAAAUCAUUCUACUGAAGAGACACCUGUACUUGCAUGUUUAUGACAGCACAAUUCAUGGUAGCAAAGACAUGGAAUCAACCCAGGUGCCCAUCAUUGGUGGACUGGAUGAAGAAAAUGUGGUGCAUAUACACCAUGGAAUACUAUGCAGCCAUAAAAAAGAAUGAAAUCAUGUCAUUUGCAGCAACAUGGCUAGAGCUGGAGGCCAUUAUCCUAAAGUGAAGUAAUAAUAGAAACAAAAC